rnacentral:rRNA from 1 species
CGGGUGAUUAACACGUGAGGAACCUGCCUCUGACUCUGGGAUAAGCGCUGGAAACGGCGUCUAAUACUGGAUAUGUCCCGUCACCGCAUGGUGUGCGGGUGGAAAGAUUUUUCGGUUGGGGAUGGGCUCGCGGCCUAUCAGCUUGUUGGUGAGGUAAUGGCUCACCAAGGCGUCGACGGGUAGCCGGCCUGAGAGGGUGACCGGCCACACUGGGACUGAGACACGGCCCAGACUCCUACGGGAGGCAGCAGUGGGGAAUAUUGCACAAUGGGCGGAAGCCUGAUGCAGCAACGCCGCGUGAGGGAUGACCGGCCUUCGGGUUGUAAACCUCUUUUGCAGGGAAGAAGCGAGAGUGACGGUACCUGCAGAAAAAGCACCGGCUAACUACGUGCCAGCAGCCGCGGUAAUACGUAGGGUGCAAGCGUUAUCCGGAAUUAUUGGGCGUAAAGAGCUCGUAGGCGGUCUGUCGCGUCUGCUGUGAAAUUCCGAGGCUCAACCUCGGGCUUGCAGUGGGUACGGGCAGACUAGAGUGCGGUAGGGGAGAUUGGAAUUCCUGGUGUAGCGGUGGAAUGCGCAGAUAUCAGGAGGAACACCGAUGGCGAAGGCAGAUCUCUGGGCCGUAACUGACGCUGAGGAGCGAAAGGGUGGGGAGCAAACAGGCUUAGAUACCCUGGUAGUCCACCCCGUAAACGUUGGGAACUAGUUGUGGGGUCCUUUCCACGGAUUCCGUGACGCAGCUAACGCAUUAAGUUCCCCGCCUGGGGAGUACGGCCGCAAGGCUAAAACUCAAAGGAAUUGACGGGGACCCGCACAAGCGGCGGAGCAUGCGGAUUAAUUCGAUGCAACGCGAAGAACCUUACCAAGGCUUGACAUACACGAGAACGGGCCAGAAAUGGUCAACUCUUUGGACACUCGUGAACAGGUGGUGCAUGGUUGUCGUCAGCUCGUGUCGUGAGAUGUUGGGUUAAGUCCCGCAACGAGCGCAACCCUCGUUCUAUGUUGCCAGCACGUAAUGGUGGGAACUCAUGGGAUACUGCCGGGGUCAACUCGGAGGAAGGUGGGGAUGACGUCAAAUCAUCAUGCCCCUUAUGUCUUGGGCUUCACGCAUGCUACAAUGGCCGGUACAAUGGGCUGCGAUACCGUAAGGUGGAGCGAAUCCCAAAAAGCCGGUCCCAGUUCGGAUUGAGGUCUGCAACUCGACCUCAUGAAGUCGGAGUCGCUAGUAAUCGCAGAUCAGCAACGCUGCGGUGAAUACGUUCCCUUGUGUUGUACACCCCGCCUCGUCUAAGU